GUCUCUCUUGAGUGGAUCCUGAGUACGACGGAGCACGUGAAAUUCCGUCGGAAUCUGGGAGGACCAUCUCCUAAGGCUAAAUACUCUCUAGUGACCGAUAGUGAACCAGUACCGUGAGGGAAAGGUGAAAAGCACCCCGGAAGGGGAGUGAAAUAGAACCUGAAACCGUGUGCUUACAAGUAGUCAGAGCCCGUUAAUGGGUGAUGGCGUGCCUUUUGUAGAAUGAACCGGCGAGUUACGAUUUGAUGCAAGGUUAAGCAGUAAAUGUGGAGCCGUAGCGAAAGCGAGUCUGAAUAGGGCGUUUAGUAUUUGGUCGUAGACCCGAAACCAGGUGAUCUACCCUUGGUCAGGUUGAAGUUCAGGUAACACUGAAUGGAGGACCGAACCGACUUACGUUGAAAAGUGAGCGGAUGAACUGAGGGUAGCGGAGAAAUUCCAAUCGAACCUGGAGAUAGCUGGUUCUCUCCGAAAUAGCUUUAGGGCUAGCCUCAAGUGAUGAUUAUUGGAGGUAGAGCACUGUUUGGACGAGGGGCCCCUCUCGGGUUACCGAAUUCAGACAAACUCCGAAUGCCAAUUAAUUUAACUUGGGAGUCAGAACAUGGGUGAUAAGGUCCGUGUUCGAAAGGGAAACAGCCCAGACCACCAGCUAAGGUCCCAAAAUAUAUGUUAAGUGGAAAAGGAUGUGGCGUUGCCCAGACAACUAGGAUGUUGGCUUAGAAGCAGCCAUCAUUUAAAGAGUGCGUAAUAGCUCACUAGUCGAGUGACACUGCGCCGAAAAUGUACCGGGGCUAAACAUAUUACCGAAGCUGUGGAUUGUCCUUUGGACAAUGGUAGGAGAGCGUUCUAAGGGCGUUGAAGCAUGAUCGUAAGGACAUGUGGAGCGCUUAGAAGUGAGAAUGCCGGUGUGAGUAGCGAA
rnacentral:rRNA from 1 species